CGCGUAGGUGGUAGUGCAAGUCUGUGGUGGAAUCUUAGGGCUUAACCCUAAAACUGCCUUGGAAACUGCAUUACUUGAGUCAGUGAGGGGAGGGUAGAAUUCCUGGUGUAGCGGUGAAAUGCGUAGAUAUCAGGAGGAAGGCCUGUGGCGAAGGCGGCCCUCUGGCGCUGAACUGACACUGAGGCGCGAAAGCGUGGGGAGCAAACAGGAUUAGAUACCCUGGUAGUCCACGCCCUAAACGGUGGGCACUAGGUGUAGGGCUCGUAAGGGUUCUGUGCCGAAGGGAAACCAUUAAGUGCCCCGCCUGGGGAGUACGGCCGCAAGGUUGAA
rnacentral:rRNA from 1 species